GGUAGCACAUAUAUAUUCACAGCAAGCAACCAUGUCGGGUAAGCGUCUAAACGCGUUACAUAUCUUGCAUUGCCGUCUGAUGACUCGGCUGGAAAUGCAGGCAUAUCGACUACGGUGCCUAAGCCAAAAGGAUCGCAAGCAGACCAUCAAACGGAAUACCAGAGGCCCAAAGUUCAUGACCAACAUGCUCCUCCUCCUCGAGGCAGUGAUGGUCUGUCAAGCCCUGCGCUAGCGACGGCGGGAUCAAGGAAGAAGCAGCGACAGCAGGAGCCGUACAACAAACGACCGGAUAGCGGAGAAAAAGCAGGCCCAAAAGCUACGGGUAUUUCGUACCUCAAUUGGCCAUGACGGAUCUACAGAAGCUCAGCAAAGGAAUAUAUAGUGCAAGCUCCCUUGUCAAGGAUCGUGUGUGUGCAUCACGAUGUUUUACAUAACAGUAUAAGACAUCAUAUGCAUAUUAGGGAAAAAAAUGUUACUUCAUUUAUUUCGAUGAUAUUAUUAGUUUAUUGGAUAUGUUAAUGUAUGCAUUGUUGUAUACAGUAUCCGAAAUAAAUGGCCAGCCUAUAUCCUUUUUGUACACACAACCAAGUAUGUGUGUAUAUAUAUAUAAUUAAUGAAAUUUGGAAGGAAGUAUUUACUUCCCCCUUAUU